rnacentral:rRNA from 1 species
AUUGAACGCUGGCGGCAGGCUUAACACAUGCAAGUCGAGCGGGGAAGGGUAGCUUGCUACCUGACCUAGCGGCGGACGGGUGAGUAAUGCUUAGGAAUCUGCCUAUUAGUGGGGGACAACAUUCCGAAAGGAAUGCUAAUACCGCAUACGCCCUACGGGGGAAAGCAGGGGAUCUUCGGACCUUGCGCUAAUAGAUGAGCCUAAGUCAGAUUAGCUAGUUGGUGGGGUAAAGGCCUACCAAGGCGACGAUCUGUAGCGGGUCUGAGAGGAUGAUCCGCCACACUGGGACUGAGACACGGCCCAGACUCCUACGGGAGGCAGCAGUGGGGAAUAUUGGACAAUGGGCGCAAGCCUGAUCCAGCCAUGCCGCGUGUGUGAAGAAGGCCUUUUGGUUGCAAAGCACUUUAAGCGAGGAGGAGGCUACUUGGAUUAAUACUCUAGGAUAGUGGACGUUACUCGCAGAAUAAGCACCGGCUAACUCUGUGCCAGCAGCCGCGGUAAUACAGAGGGUGCGAGCGUUAAUCGGAUUUACUGGGCGUAAAGCGUGCGUAGGCGGCUUUUUAAGUCGGAUGUGAAAUCCCUGAGCUUAACUUAGGAAUUGCAUUCGAUACUGGGAAGCUAGAGUAUGGGAGAGGAUGGUAGAAUUCCAGGUGUAGCGGUGAAAUGCGUAGAGAUCUGGGAGGAAUACCGAUGGCGAAGGCAGCCAUUU